UGGGGAAUAUUGCACAAUGGAGGGAACUCUGAUGCAGCGACGCCGCGUGAGUGAUGAAGGAAUUCGUUUCGUAAAACUCUGUUCUAUGGGAAGAAAAGGACUGUACCAUAGGAGAAAGCUCCGGCUAAAUACGUGCCAGCAGCCGCGGUAAUACGUAUGGAGCGAGCGUUGUCCGGAAUUAUUGGGCGUAAAGGGCUUGUAGGCGGCUUGUUGCGCCUGCUGUGAAAACGCGGGGCUUAACUUCGCGCGUGCAGUGGGUACGGGCAGGCUUGAGUGUGGUAGGGGUGACUGGAAUUCCAGGUGUAGCGGUGGAAUGCGCAGCUAUCUGGAGGAACACCGAUGGCGAAGGCAGGUCACUGGGCCAUUACUGACGCUGAGGAGCGAAAGCAUGGGUAGCGAACAGG
rnacentral:rRNA from 1 species